UCAACAAAUGAUGAUGGUUCAACUGGA
rnacentral:piRNA from 1 species